rnacentral:lncRNA from 1 species
AGUCUCGUCCCAUUCCGAGUCCGGCGGACGAACUUCGUUCGCGCCCCCCACCAAGGCUAUAGCCCACCCGUUUUUUGGCCAUUUUUCCGUUGGGGGGUUUUGGCACCACGACCUUUGGGUGCUUAUUUUUGGGCGCGGCUUUGCCCGCGGCUUAUUUUUGGCACCCCGAGGCCCCUCGCAAAGUCUCGCCCCAUUCCGAGUCCGGCGGACGAACUUCGCCCGCGCCCCCCACCAAGGCUAUAGCCCACCCGUUUUUUGGCCAUUUUUCCGCUGGGGAGUUUUGGCACCACGGCCUUGGGGCGCUUAUUUCUGGACGCGGCUGUGCCCGCGACUUCCCGCGGGCACCCCGAGGCCCCUCGCAAAGUCUCGCCCCAUUCCGAGUCCGGCGGACGAACUUCGCCCGCGCCCCCCACCAAGGCUAUAGCCCACCCGUUUUUUGGCCAUUUUUCCGCUAGGGGGUUUUGGCACCACGACCUUCGGGCGUUUAUUUUUGGACGCGGCUGUUCCCGCGACUUCCCGCGGGCACCCCGAGGCCCCUCGCAAAGUCUCGCCCCAUUCUGAGUCCGGCGGACGAACUUCGCCCGCGCCCCCCACCAAGGCUAUAGCCCACCCGUUUUUUGGCCAUUUUUCCGCUGGGGGGUUUUGGCACCACGACCUUCGGGCACUUAUUUUUGUACGCGGCUGUGCCCGCGACUUCCCGCGGGCACCCCGAGGCCCCUCGCAAAGUCUCGCCCCAUUCCGAGUCCGGCGGACGAACUUCGCCCGCGCCCCCCACCAAGGCUAUAGCCCACCCGUUUUUUGGCCAUUUUUCCGCUGGGCGGUUUUGGCACCACGACCUUCGGGCACUUAUUUUUGGGUGCGGCUUUGUCCGCGGCUUAUUUUUGGCGCCCCGAGGCCCUGCGCAAAGUCUCGCCCCAUUCCGUGUCCGGCGGACGAGCUUCGCCCGCGCCCCCCACCAAGGCUAUAGCCCACCCGUUUUUUGGCCAUUUUUCCGCUGGGGAGUUUUGGCACCACGGCCUUGGGGCGCUUAUUUCUGGACGCGGCUGUGCCCGCGACUUCCCGCGGGCACCCCGAGGCCCCUCGCAAAGUCUCGCCCCAUUCCGAGUCCGGCGGACGAACUUCGCCCGCGCCCCCCACCAAGGCUAUAGCCCACCCGUUUUUUGGCCAUUUUUCCGCUGGGCGGGUUUUGGCACCACGACCUUCGGGCGUUUUUGGCACCACGACCUUCGGGCACUUAUUUUUGGGUGCGGCUUUGUCCGCGGCUUAUUUUUGGCGCCCCGAGGCCCUGCGCAAAGUCUCGCCCCAUUCCGUGUCCGGCGGACGAACUUCGCCCGCGCCCACCACCAAGGCUAUAGCCCACCCGUUUUUUGGCCAUUUUUCCGCUAGGGGGUUUUGGCACCACGACCUUCGGGCGUUUAUUUUUGGACGCGGUUGUUCCUGCGACUUCCCGCGGGCACCCCGAGGCCCCUCGCAAAGUCUCGCCCCAUUCCGAGUCCGGCGGACGAACUUCGCCCGCGCCCCCCACCAAGGCUAUAGCCCACCCGUUUUUUGGCCAUUUUUCCGCUGGGGGGUUUUGGCACCACGACCUUCGGGCGCUUAUUUUUGGGCGCGGCUUGCCUGCGGCUUAUUUUUGGUGCCCCGAGGCCCCUCGCAAAGUCUCGUCCCAUUCCGAGUCCGGCGGACGAACUUCGUUCGUGCCCCCCACCAAGGCUAUAGCCCACCCGUUUUUUGGCCAUUUUUCCGUUGGGGGGUUUUGGCACCACGACCUUUGGGUGCUUAUUUUUGGGCGCGGCUUUGCCCGCGGCUUAUUUUUGGCACCCCGAGGCCCCUCGCAAAGUCUCGCCCCAUUCCGAGUCCGGCGGACGAACUUCGCCCGCGCCCCCCACCAAGGCUAUAGCCCAACCGUUUUUUGGCCAUUUUUCCGCUGGGGAGUUUUGGCACCACGGCCUUGGGGCGCUUAUUUCUGGACGCGGCUGUGCCCGCGACUUCCCGCGGGCACCCCGAGGCCCCUCGCAAAGUCUCGCCCCAUUCCGAGUCCGGCGGACGAACUUCGCCCGCGCCCCCCACCAAGGCUAUAGCCCACCCGUUUUUUGGCCAUUUUUCCGCUGGGGGGUUUUGGCACCACGACCUUCGGGUGCUUAUUUUUGGACGCGGCUGUGCCCGCGACUUCCCGCGGGCACCCCAAGGCCCCUCGCAAAGUCUCGCCCCAUUCUGAGUCCGGCGGACGAACUUCGCCCGCGCCCCCCACCAAGGCUAUAGCCCACCCGUUUUUUGGCCAUUUUUCCGCUGGGGGGUUUUUGCACCACGACCUUCGGGCGCUUAUUUUUGGGCGCGGCUUUGCUCGCAGCUUAUUUUUGGCGCCCCGAGGCCCCGCGCAAAGUCUCGCCCCAUUCCGAGUCCGGCGGACGAACUUCGCCCUCGCCCCCCACCAAGGCUAUAGCCCACCCGUUUUUUGGCCAUUUUUCCGCUGGGGGGUUUUGGCACCACGACCUUCGGGCGCUUAUUUGUGGACGCGGCUGUGCCCGCGACUUCCCGCGGGCACCCCGAGGCCCCUCACAAAGUCUCGACCCAUUCCGAGUCCGGCGGACGAACUUCGCCCGCGCCCCCCACCAAGGCUAUAGCCCACCCGUUUUUUGGCCAUUUUUCCGCUGGGGGGUUUUGGUACCACGACCUUCGGGCGCUUAUUUUUGGGCGCGGCCUUGCGCGCGGCUUAUUUUUGGUGCCCCGAGGCCCCUCGCAAAGUCUCGCCCCAUUUCGAGUCCGGCGGACGAACUUCGCCCGCGCCCCCCACCAAGGCUAUAGCCCACCCGGUUUUUGGCCAUUUUUCCGCUGGGGGAUUUGGCACCACGACCUUUGGGCGCUUAUUUUUGGGCGCGGCUUUGCUCGCGGCUUAUUUUUGGCACCCCGAGGCCCCUCGCAAAGUCUCGCCCCAUUCCGAGUCUGGCGGACGAACUUCGCCCGCGCCCCCCACCAAGACAAUAGGCCACCCGUUUUUUGGCCAUUUUUCCGCUGGGGGUUUUGGCACCACGACCUUCCGGCGCUUAUUUUUGGACGCGGCUGUGCCCGCGACGUCCCGCGGGCACCCCGAGGCCCCUCGCAAAGUCUCGACCCAUUCCGAGUCCGGCGGACGAACUUCGCCCGCGCCCCCCACCAAGGCUAUAGCCCACCCGUUUUUUGGCCAUUUUUCCGCUGGGGGGUUUUGGCACCACGACCUUCGGGCGCUUAUUUUUGGACGCGGCUGUGCCUGCGACUUCCCGCGGGCACCCCGAGGCCCCUCGCAAAGUGUCGCCCCAUUCCGAGUCCGGCGGACGAACUUCGCCCGCGCCCCCCACCAAGGCUAUAGCCCACCCGUUUUUUGGCCAUUUUUCCGCUGGGGGGUUUUGGCACCACGACCUUCGGGGGCUUAUUUUUGGACGCGGCUGUGCCUGCGACUUCCCGCGGGCACCCCGAGGCCCCUCGCAAAGUGUCGCCCCAUUCCGAGUCCGGCGGACGAACUUCGCCCGCGCCCCCCACCAAGGCUAUAGCCCACCCGUUUUUUGGCCAUUUUUCCGCUGGGGGGUUUUGGCACCACGACCUUCGGGCGCUUAUUUUUGGGCGCGGCUUUGCCCGCGGCUUAUUUUUGGCACCCCGAGGCCCCGCGCAAAGUCUCGCCCCAUUCCGAGUCUGGCGGACGAACUUCGCCCGCGCCCCCCACCAAGGCUAUAGCCCACCCGUUUUUUGGCCAUUUUUCCGCUGGGGGGUUUUGGCACCACGACCUUCGGGCGCUUUUUUCUGGACGCGGCCAUGCCCGCGACUUCCCGCGGGCAACCCGAGGCACCUCGCAAAGUCUCGUCCCAUUCCAAGUCCGGCGGACGAACUUCGCCCGCGCCCCCCACCAAGGCUAUAGCCCACCCG